AUCGAACGCUGGCGGCAGGCCUAACACAUGCAAGUCGAGCGGAUGAAGGGAGCUUGCUUCUGGAUUCAGCGGCGGACGGGUGAGUAAUGCCUAGGAAUCUGCCUGGUAGUGGGGGAUAACGUCCGGAAACGGGCGCUAAUACCGCAUACGUCCUGAGGGAGAAAGUGGGGGAUCUUCGGACCUCACGCUAUCAGAUGAGCCUAGGUCGGAUUAGCUAGUUGGUGGGGUAAAGGCUUACCAAGGCGAGGAUCGGUAACUGGUCUGAGAGGAUGAUCAGUCACACUGGGAGUGAGACACGGUCCAGACGCCUACGGGAGGCAGCAGUAGGGAAUAUUGGGCAAUGGGCGAAAGCCUGAUCCAGCCAGGCCGAGUGUGUGAAGAAGGUCGUCGGAUUGUAGAGCACGUUAAGUUGGGAGGAAGGGCAGUAAGUUAAUACCUAGCUGUUUUGACGUUACCAGCAGAAUAAGCGCCGGCUAACUUCGUGC
rnacentral:rRNA from 1 species